rnacentral:rRNA from 1 species
CAGCCGCCGCGGGAAUACGAAGGGUGCAAGCGUUACUCGGAAUUACUGGGCGUAAAGCGUGUGUAGGUGGUGGUUUAAGUCCGUUGUGAAAGCCCUGGGCUCAACCUGGGAAUUGCAGUGGAUACUGGAUCACUAGAGUGUGGUAGAGGAUAGUGGAAUUUCCGGUGUAGCAGUGAAAUGCGUAGAGAUCGGAAGGAACAUCUGUGGCGAAGGCGACUAUCUGGGCCAACACUGACACUGAGGCACGAAAGCGUGGGGAGCAAACAGGAUUAGAUACCCCAGUAGUCCCUGUCUCUUAUAC